GACGAACGCUGGCGGCGUGCUUAACACAUGCAAGUCGAACGGAAAGGCCCUGCUUUUGUGGGGUGCUCGAGUGGCGAACGGGUGAGUAACACGUGAGUAACCUGCCCUUGACUUUGGGAUAACUUCAGGAAACUGGGGCUAAUACCGGAUAGGAGCUCCUGCUGCAUGGUGGGGGUUGGAAAGUUUCGGCGGUUGGGGAUGGACUCGCGGCUUAUCAGCUUGUUUGUGGGGUAGUGGCUUACCAAGGCUUUGACGGGUAGCCGGCCUGCGAGGGUGACCGGCCACAUUGGGACUGAGAUACGGCCCAGACUCCUACGGGAGGCAGCAGUGGGGAAUAUUGCACAAUGGGCGGAAGCCUGAUGCAGCAACGCCGCGUGCGGGAUGACGGCCUUCGGGUUGUAAACCGCUUUCGCCUGUGACGAAGCGUGAGUGACGGUAAUGGGUAAAGAAGCACCGGCUAACUACGUG
rnacentral:rRNA from 1 species